GACGAACGCUGGCGGCGUGCUUAACACAUGCAAGUGGAGCGACGAACCAGGGCUUGCCCUGGGGCAGAGCCGCGAACGGGUGAGUAACACGUGGGUAACGUGCCCCGAUGACUGGGACAACCCGGGGAAACCCGGGCUAAUACCGGAUGUGCCCCCUCACAUCAGUGAGGUGUGUAAAGGAAGCUUCGGCCUCCGCAUCGGGAUCGGCCCGCGGCCCAUUAGCUUGUUGGUGAGGUAACGGCUCACCAAGGCUGCGAUGGGCAGCUGGUCUGAGAGGACGAUCAGCCACACUGGGACUGAGACACGGCCCAGACUCCUACGGGAGGCAGCAGUGGGGAAUCUUGCGCAAUGCGCGAAAGCGUGACGCAGCAACGCCGCGUGGGGGAAGACGGCCUUCGGGUUGUAAACCCCUUUCAGUUGGGACGAAGGUCGGGCGGUUAACAGCCGUUCCGGCUGACGGUACCUUCACAAGAAGCCCCGGCUAACUACGUG
rnacentral:rRNA from 1 species